GGCCGCCUGGCGAAAUGGCAUCGCGUCUGACUACGAUACGUUGUGAUCAGGAGAUUGCAGGUUCGACCCCUGCGGUGGUCA